CCUACGGUGGGCAGCAGUGGGGAAUAUUGGACAAUGGGGGGAACCCUGAUCCAGCGACGCCGCGUGAGUGAAGAAGUAUUUCGGUAUGUAAAGCUCUAUCAGCAGGGAAGAAAGUAAUGACGGUACCUGACUAAGAAGCCCCGGCCAACUACGUGCCAGCAGCCGCGGUAAUACGGAGGGGGCAAGCGUUAUCCGGAUUUACUGGGUGGAAAGGGGGCGUAGGUGGUUCCGAAAGUCUGGAGUGAAAGGCGGGGGCCCAACCCCCGGACUGUAUUGGAUAUUGUAUAACGGGAGUACAGGAGAGGUAAGUGGAAUUCCUAGUGUAGCGGUGAAAUGCGUAGAUAUUAGGAGGAACACCAGUGGCGAAGGCGGCUUACUGGACUGUAACUGACGUUGAGGCUCGAAAGCGUGGGGAGCAAACAGGAUUAGAUACCCUUGUAGUC
rnacentral:rRNA from 1 species